rnacentral:rRNA from 1 species
GCGAACCCGCGAGGGGGAGCCAAUCCCAAAAAGCCGCUCUCAGUUCGGAUUGCAGGCUGCAACUCGCCUGCAUGAAGCCGGAAUCGCUAGUAAUCGCGGAUCAGCAUGCCGCGGUGAAUACGUUCCCGGGCCUU